rnacentral:sRNA from 1 species
GACCUAAACCAAUAGCGUUAGUUGUUGGCAUGGUCGAAAAUCGCGAUGAACAUAAAGAACCCGUUAUCAGGGCGUUCAUCGCGUUACCAGGGGAAACUCUGGUAGAGGUUACCGAAAGGUGCCUU